rnacentral:lncRNA from 10 species
GUUUCGGCUCCUGUUCUGUGGGCGGCUGAGGACCGCCGGCUGCCCGGCUCGGAGAAGAACAGGUGCAGUGGCUCACACCCGUAAUCCCAGCACUUUGGGAGGCCGAAGCAUGUGGAUCGCUUGAGGUCAGGAGUUCAAGACCAGCCUGGGCAACAUGGCGAAACCCCGUUUCUGCUAAAACUCAAAAAUUAGCCGGGAACUCUCUCUUCUAUUCUCAGAGUCUACAAAAUGCAUUAUUAAAAAGGCAGGAAGAAAACUGGGCUUUAUCAAGAAAGUCGCAUGCGCUUGACUGAGGGACUUUCCCUUUCGUCCGGCGAAGGUCUGGUGAGUCCAAUGGGGGAGUGGAAUUCGUUCCGGUGAUCCUCUCGGUCGCUCCCGUCGUACGAACUGCUACAGCUGCUCAAGCUGUCAACAGGAGAUCUCCCCGCCUCGUGGCGCGUGUGUUGUGGGUAUCUCGAAGGGGUGGUGGUACGGUCUCU